rnacentral:rRNA from 1 species
UGCAGUCGAGCGGAUGAAAGGAGCUUGCUCCUGGAUUCAGCGGCGGACGGGUGAGUAAUGCCUAGGAAUCUGCCUGGUAGUGGGGGACAACGUUUCGAAAGGAACGCUAAUACCGCAUACGUCCUACGGGAGAAAGCAGGGGACCUUCGGGCCUUGCGCUAUCAGAUGAGCCUAGGUCGGAUUAGCUAGUUGGUGAGGUAAUGGCUCACCAAGGCGACGAUCCGUAACUGGUCUGAGAGGAUGAUCAGUCACACUGGAACUGAGACACGGUCCAGACUCCUACGGGAGGCAGCAGUGGGGAAUAUUGGACAAUGGGCGAAAGCCUGAUCCAGCCAUGCCGCGUGUGUGAAGAAGGUCUUCGGAUUGUAAAGCACUUUAAGUUGGGAGGAAGGGUUGUAGAUUAAUACUCUGCAAUUUUGACGUUACCGACAGAAUAAGCACCGGCUAACUCUGUGCCAGCAGCCGCGGUAAUACAGAGGGUGCAAGCGUUAAUCGGAAUUACUGGGCGUAAAGCGCGCGUAGGUGGUUCGUUAAGUUGGAUGUGAAAUCCCCGGGCUCAACCUGGGAACUGCAUUCAAAACUGUCGAGCUAGAGUAUGGUAGAGGGUGGUGGAAUUUCCUGUGUAGCGGUGAAAUGCGUAGAUAUAGGAAGGA